UGGACUACAAGGGUUGAUUGUGUAAAAAGAAGAUUAUCUAAGUCUUAAAAAUACGAACAUUGGUCCAUUUAGGCUGGGCGUUUGGUCACUCUCCUGGAGAACAGCUCUUCUGUUCUUCCGGUCUGUGGGAACACAAGAACAAGGAAAAGGCGUUUGGAAACUGGGAUUCGUUAUUGUGCUCUCGCAAAAUGAAUCGGGCAAAAUUGUCUUGGGAACACCUUUUGCAGAACAACAUCAAAUACAUGUUCUGCAAAGUGGAAGACCAUCUUCAAAAGAACAAAGGUUGAAUUUAAUUCAUUUAUUCCCCAAUAAAUUUCCCCUCCCCUCACUCGCCUGCAACAUCCCCUUGCCUUCGUUCAUCCUUCGCCUGCAACCUCCUCUCACACAGCCAUUCUCCUGCCUUGCGAACGGAAUCAGCCACUCUUCCCACCUCACAAAAUAGCUCACCUUCAACGCUCAACCCUUCCUUGCUGCAACUUGGGUCAUCCACGAUUGUCUUCUUCACUGCGAGCAACCCUCCUAGCAGGUUUUACUCGGGAGUUCUUGGUGGUUCACCUUAAGUUGCUCCUAGCAUACGAAGGAUUGUGCUUGCAGUCUACCUAUUUGAAAGUAUUGUUCCAUAAACUUGAAUCUCUAUCAGCUCCUGGGCUGUUGUGUCCUUGUAUAAAGCUGAAUUUGUGCUGCACCAUACUGUGAUACCCUUGUGCUAAUUGGUUGCUGGAUUGAUGGUGGCAUUGUGGCUAACACUUAAAACUUCUUUUUCCCUCGGCCACAUUUAGCAAUGGUUUAUGGAUUGGUGUUGCAUUGGUGUUUUUCAUUGUGGUUUUGAUUCCCUGUUUUUAAAAUCCUGAGAACAAUAACUUUUGUUAUUCACCUCAUGAAUUUUUAUAUGGGGCUUCAUUUGCUGAGGCCAAUCCUUCACACAACCUCAACUUCCGAGGCUUAUUGAUAUUAUAACUUGCACAUUCCU